rnacentral:rRNA from 1 species
CCGUGCGAAGGAGCACAAUCACUUGUCUCUUAAAUCGGGACCUGUAUGAAUGGCAUCACGAGGAUUCAACUGUCUCCCCUCAUUAAUCAGUGAAACUAAUCUCCCUGUGAAAAAGCAGGGCUACUUAUACAAGACGAGAAGACCCUAUGGAGCUUAAAACUAAUAACAUUUGCUCUACUUUAUCUAGUAACCACCCAGCAUUAUGCUUAUACGUUUUCGGUUGGGGUGACCCUGGAAAAAAGCCUAACUUCCAUGCUGGCAAAUACAAGAACCUCAAUUCUACAAAUCAAUAUAUUGACACAAUUGACCCAAGCACUUGAUCAACGAACCAAGUUACCCYAGGGAUAACAGCGCUAUCCACUUCAAGAGUACAUAUCAACAAGUGGGCUUACGACCUCGAUG